rnacentral:lncRNA from 15 species
UCAGUGUGGUCACACAGUCAAGAGUGAAACGCCCUGCAGGAAUCUUAGGCCAUCAUGUUUAAACUGCUGUGCACUCAAACCAACAGAUGCCACCGUUUGUGUGCUGCCGAAGCCUCGAAUUUCAGGAUAUAUCCUCAGGACCUGCAGCAGCACCUGUUCGCUCUACAGAUGGCUGCCAGCUGACAGGAGGGUGUCAACCACUGCAGCACCACUUCCAUGUUUCUGUGCGUCUCUUCCUCUGUGAUGGACAACAGAUGGCACAGCUGCAUUCUGGUAUAUGGAGUCUACUCUACCGCCUGGAGACGAUAAUGUUCAAACAAAUAUGUAUGUAUAUGCAGUAACUAAGAAACACUGUAACAUAUGUUUUUUUUCUUCUCACUAUAACAUGGUUUGAACAGUAUUGAAUUAAUUCUGCUUACUUUUCCAAUUACACAAUCAUAUCUG